AGGCAGUGCAGCGGGCAGUGCCCACACUCUGAUGAUGACUGUCCUGGAUUCUACGGAGUGGCAGCCGCUUACUAGCCAUGUGGUCUGGGGGCUGCAUCUCCAGUCUCUGGCACAGAGGCCUUGAUAAAUAAUCAACGAAUGGAUGGAAGGACGGAUGGAUGAAAGAAUGAAAGCAAGCCCAUUUCUGACAGGCUGAAUCAAUUCCUGAGCCCAGUUUUAAAAAGAGACCAGAGGAACAAAUAUUACUCUCCUGCUGAUAAAAACACUUUAAACUCCUCAGAAGGCAAGACUCUGCUGCUGGGAAUCUAGAAGCCAGAGCUAGCAGAAUAACUGCCAGAGAACAUUCCAGAACGUAGGUCUGCUCCAGUCCAAGAAUAUCUCGGCAUGAACCUGUUUUACAAGUACCUACAAGUCGGGAGGCAUCAGACUUUCCUAGAAAAGUCCCAGAAACCUCACUAUGUCGGUGACAAAGAGAGACUUUUCCUGUCUAGACACCACAAUGCUUGUAAUUAAAAUUAAGAUUUAGGAGGUGGAGGGAGGCAACA